rnacentral:piRNA from 1 species
AAGUGCUAUACAAAAGGGAGAUCCUGA